AAUCAACGCUGGCGGCGUGCCUCAGACAUGCAAGUCGAACGAUUAAAGCUCCCUUCGGGGAGUGCAUAAAGUGGCGCACGGGUGAGUAACACGUAAGUAAUCUACCCUCGGGCGGGGAAUAACAACCGGAAACGGUUGCUAAUACCGCAUAAUGCAGCGGCACCGCAAGGUGACAGUUGUUAAAGGAGCAAUCCACCUGAGGAGGAGCUUGCGGCAGAUUAGCUUGUUGGUAAGGUAACGGCUUACCAAGGCUACGAUCUGUAUCCGGUCUAAGAGGACGGUCGGACACACUGACACUGAAUAACGGGUCAGACUCCUACGGGAGGCAGCAGUCGGGAAUUUUGGGCAAUGGGGGAAACCCUGACCCAGCAACGCCGCGUGAAGGAUGAAGUAUUUCGGUAUGUAAACUUCGAAAGAAUAGGAAGAAUUAAUGACGGUACUAUUUAUAAGGUCCGGCUAACUACGUGCCAGCAGCCGCUGUAAGAC
rnacentral:rRNA from 1 species